CCGGAUAUGAUGCCAGGGGUCAUGUUUGACUCUUAUCAUUUCCGGUGGAGAUGUCGUUCUUAAGGCCAGCGCUGACACAAUGUAUGUCAGACGCUGACUUGGACGGCGUGAGGGAAGAUAUCACAGUACACGUGGAAGUUUGCUUCAGUCAGCUCUCUGGUGUUACAACACAAAUAAGGUAAUUACUUUCUAGUUCAUCUCUUUAGGUUUUAAUCCUCUAUGUAGGCUUUCCUGGUCAUGGGCAUGAACUUAAUCUACUCAUUACUCUGUCUAUUUUUAGAAUCGGAACCUAAAUAGAUAUAACGGCCCUUGGACCAUUCUGACAGUAUUGCCUUUAAGUAUAAUGCCACUGGGAUAGCAUAUCCCCCUAGGACAUCAGCUUAUAGCACUAUAUACUCCAUGUUAUUAACCAUCUAAGGUAAACUCUCUUCCUUUUCAAUUACAUUCUUUUCUAAUAGACGGGCACUACGCUGCAAUGCAACAGUUACUUAUUAUUUUUUAAAAAAUAAAUUGAAUUCAUUUAUAUACUUAUAUGCAUACAUAUUUUGUAUUUUACUUACUUAUAGAAUAUAUUAUGAAUUCAGUAUGAACUACACUGGACUCUAUUGACAGCUUUAACCCUAUAUCUAAACUUCACUACUACUGAGGAGAGAAUUAGAUACAACGUACAAAUACCUGUAUCUCUUCCUCCUCAAUUGUGGUGACCCCCUCUAUACAUCUCAUUGUCCGCACCUGUUAAAAUCAAGUGGAUCUGGCUUCCACUGAUUGAAAGUGCAGCAGUCAAUGCCUUCCGCCCGCAUCGGGUUCGCCUCCGCUACUUUCUUGGCAGCUUGUUCUGCCAUGGUUUUUGAGCUUUUUAAACACAUAUUGACCAUUACAUGUAAAUAAGGAACAGAAGUAUCAUGCAAGCCCUGAUGAAGCACACCUAAGUGCGAAACUAGUU